ACGCGAAGGACCUUACCUACCCUUGACAUGUCCAGAAUCCUGCAGAGAUGCGGGAGUGCCCGAAAGGGAAUUGGAACACAGGUGCUGCAUGGCUGUCGUCAGCUCGUGUCGUGAGAUGUUGGGUUAAGUCCCGCAACGAGCGCAACCCUUAUCAUUAGUUGCUACGCAAGGGCACUCUAAUGAGACUGCCGGUGACAAACCGGAGGAAGGUGGGGAUGACGUCAAGUCCUCAUGGCCCUUAUGGGUAGGGCUUCACACGUCAUACAAUGGUCGGUACAGAGGGUCGCCAAGCCGCGAGGUGGAGCCAAUCCCAGAAAGCCGAUCGUAGUCCGGAUUGUUCUCUGCAACUCGAGAGCAUGAAGUCGGAAUCGCUAGUAAUCGCGGAUCAGCAUGUCGCGGUGAAUACGUUCCCGGGUCUUGUACACACCGA
rnacentral:rRNA from 1 species